AUGGCUCUGAUUUUUUUUCCUGGUCUUUGCCAGCAAAUUUUCAGGGAUCUCUUAGCAGAAGAGAGGACAUUGUUUGCUGCAUCUUCCACUCCUGUGGAGUUCUUGGACGCUGACUGUUUACAGGGGCUUGCAACUGCCUUUGUUUCCCAUCUGGUAUUAAUUUUUGCUUCUUCUUCUUUACCAGGCUUUGACUCAUCUCCGCCCAAACCUUCAGGUUUCCUGAAGGCUCACGUCCCAAGACAUGGCGCCCCAUCCAGCUCCUUAAGAUGUCCUGCUCUCCCCUCCCCACCAUGCGGCCACAUCUCAGUCACCCCCAUCUUAACUCAUUGUGUCGCCACUGGACCAGUGACAUUUUCAUCUCACAUUAUCUUCAAGGCAACGGAAGAGCUUUGGAAGGUUUUGACUGGUAUCAAAAGUGAGACUGCGUAUGUAAACUAAGGUAAUGCUACACUAGUAUGUCAUGAAACUCAAGAUACCAGAUUUCUGCCCAACUCAAAGGGAGAAGACAAGAAAUAUGAAGAAAUCAGAGCUCAGAAAGAUCCAGUUCAUUUGUCCAUUCAGCAGCUGUUGCCUACCUGCACACUUCCGUGAGCUUUCCCAGGCAUGUUCGGUAUACUAGUCCCAAGACACAGGGCUUGUCUUCAAGAUAAUCUGAAGAAUUGAGACCUGGGGAUAGCACCCAAGAAGAGGGAAGAUAUGGGUUGACAACUGAGACAUUUCCUGGAUUGUUCAUAUCAUGUCACAGCUGGACUGAGCCUUAGAAGGUAAUUUUAAAAAUA
rnacentral:lncRNA from 12 species